CUCGCUUUACCAGCAACAAUGAUCUUGGAGGUCAUCUUUCUGGAAUGUAAGAUGGAAGAGGGCUGGGGACCUGCCUCAGACUUUGGCUAUAGAAUAUCUCAUGGGGAUAGAAUUUGGAUGUGAUGGAAGCAGUCCUUUGGCAAUAUCUCAGAGGUCGUUAGGAUCAUGUUGG